rnacentral:rRNA from 1 species
AACGAACGCUGGCGGCAGGCCUAACACAUACAAGUCGAGGGGUAGAACACUUCGGUGUUUGAGACCGGCGCACGGGUGCGUAACGCGUAUGCAAUCUACCUUGUACAGGGGAAUAGCCCAGAGAAAUUUGGAUUAAUGCCCCAUAGUAUAUAACCUUCGCAUGUUGGUUAUAUUAAAGUUCCAACGGUACAAGAUGAGCAUGCGUCCAAUUAGUUAGUUGGUAAGGUAACGGCUUACCAAGACGAUGAUGGGUAGGGGUCCUGAGAGGGAGAUCCCCCACACUGGUACUGAGACACGGACCAGACUCCUACGGGAGGCAGCAGUGAGGAAUAUUGGUCAAUGGGCGCAAGCCUGAACCAGCCAUGCCGCGUGCAGGAAGACGGUCCUAUGGAUUGUAAACCGCUUUUAUACAGGAAGAAACCCUCCCACGUGUGGGAGAUUGACGGUACUGUAGGAAUAAGGAUCGGCUAACUCCGUGCCAGCCGCCGCAGUAAUAC